GCCGCUGUAGCUCAACUGGCAGAGCGUCUGAUUUGUAAUCAGGAGGUUAGGGGUU
rnacentral:tRNA from 1 species